rnacentral:lncRNA from 1 species
AUUUUACUUGCAGCAGUAGUAGUUUCAAAUGAUGGACAAGUUGUGCACUUCAAAAAUACUUCAUCUGUAGAGAAACUGGAAUACUGUUCAAAGAUCUAUUGCAGUACCUUUAUGUCACUGUAACCAACUGGAAUUGUCUUUGCUGAAGCAGGAGGGUGAUUAAUCUAGUAACAAGAUAAAAGUAUAAUUUAUAGGCUUAACAGGGCUGACUAGUAGGUCGUUGUUCAAUCCAUCCUACAACUUAGACCUAUUGACACACCCAAGUCUGUUAACACGCUAAACCCUCAAAACUCUAUCAAACCCUCUCGACCUACUUUACCUUUUACUUUCAUAUCUUGGUUUGCGAGAAGAAAAAAUAUUAAUAAAAAUAAUGCAUUAGUAACAUAUAUGUGUAUACUCUUGUUUGUGAUCUCCACAUGCCUCUAAGCAGAGAAAUUUUGUGUAAGUCACACCAAGGUUGGUAAUGCCAUAUGGAUCAAAAUCUUAUAACUCCUUUUCAAAAUAUUGAAAAGUGUUCGGAAUCUACAGAUACAUAACUUUGCAUCAAUAUGAGAAUGAUGAGGCGGUUGUAUGACUAGAUUAGGAGACAAGCGAGAUAUAUGCAGAUCGAGUAUAGGAGUUAUACCCAUCAAGUAUAAAAUGAUGAACCAGAUUUAUAUGAGAUGGGCAUGUACAA